rnacentral:rRNA from 1 species
AUUGUUCGCAAUGGGCGCAAGCCUGACGACGCAACGCCGCGUGGAGGACGAAGAUCUUCGGGUCGUAAACUCCUGUCGAGUGGGAAGAACAUCUUUCCGUUGAAUAUUCGGAAAGACUGACGGUACCACUAAAGGAAGCCCCGGCUAACUCCGUGCCAGCAGCCGCGGUAAUACGGGGGGGGCAAGCGUUGUUCGGAAUUACUGGGCGUAAAGGGCUCGUAGGCGGCCAACUAAGUCGGAUGUGAAAUCCCCAGGCUCAACUUGGGAACUGCAUCCGAUACUGGAUGGCUUGAAUUCGGGAGAGGGAUGCAGAAUUCCAGGUGUAGCGGUGAAAUGCGUAGAUAUCUGGAGGAAUACCGGUGGCGAAGGCGGCAUCCUGGACCGACAUUGACGCUGAGGAGCGAAAGCUAGGGGAGCAAACGGG